AUUGAACGCGGGCGGCAUGCUUUACACAUGCAAGUCGAACGGCAGCACAGAGAAGCUUGCUUCUUGGGUGGCGAGUGGCGAACGGGUGAGUAACAUAUCGGAACGAACCGAGCAGUGGGGGAUAACUAAUCGAAAGAUUAGCUAAUACCGCAUAUUUUCUGAGGAAGAAAACAGGGGACCAUUUGGCCUUGCGCUGUUUGAGCGGCCGAUAUCUGAUUAGCUAGUUGGUGGGGUAAAGGCUUACCAAGGCGACGAUCAGUAGCGGGUCUGAGAGGAUGAUCCGCCACACUGGGACUGAGACACGGCCCAGACUCCUACGGGAGGCAGCAGUGGGGAAUUUUGGACAAUGGGCGCAAGCCUGAUCCAGCCAUGCCUCGUGUCUGAAGAAGGCCUUCGGGUUGUAAAGGACUUUUGUCAGGGAAGAAAAGGGCGGGGUUAAUACCCCUGUCUGA
rnacentral:rRNA from 1 species